rnacentral:misc_RNA from 1 species
UUAAGUUCAGCGGGUAUUCCUACCUAAUCCGAGGUCAACCACUAGAAGUAUAGGGGGUUUUACGGCAGGAGGCCGGGGCAACCGCAGAAGCGAGAUAGGUCUACUACGCUCAGAGUGUGCUCCGGCUCCGCCACUGACUUUGAGGAGCUACGCCGCGGGGGGCGUAGUCUCCCAACGCUAAGCUGCAGGGCUUAAUGGUC